rnacentral:rRNA from 1 species
UACAGGGGGGGCAAGCGUUGUUCGGAAUUACUGGGCGUAAAGGGCUCGUAGGCGGCCAACUAAGUCACACGUGAAAUCCCCAGGCUUAACCUGGGAACUGCGUGUGAUACUGGAUGGCUUGAAUUCGGGAGAGGGAUGCAGAAUUCCAGGUGUAGCGGUGAAAUGCGUAGAUAUCUGGAGGGAUACCGGUGGCGAAGGCGGCAUCCUGGACCGACAUUGACGCUGAUGAGCGAAAGCUAGGGGAGCAAACGGG